UACAGAGGGUGCAAGCGUUAAUCGGAAUUACUGGGCGUAAAGCGUGCGCAGGCGGUUUUGUAAGCCAGAUGUGAAAGCCCCGGGCUUAACCUGGGAAUGGCAUUUGGGACUGCAAGGCUUGAGUGCGGCAGAGGAGACUGGAAUUCCUGGUGUAGCAGUGAAAUGCGUAGAUAUCAGGAGGAAUACCGAUGGCGAAGGCAGGUCUCUGGGCUGACACUGACGCUCAUGCACGAAAGCGUGGGGAGCAAACGGG
rnacentral:rRNA from 1 species